AUGGAAGUUGGUACAGUUAUGGCAUUUAGUCUUAACGGUUAGAGCAGCAGGUAUGUUGUGUUUUGCUGCUGCCUGCCUCAGAGUCAGAGUAUCAGUCAGUCUGUAACAGUUUAAUCUAUGUGAGACCUAUUAGCAAUUUAAGUAUCACUUACCUGUGUUGUAUAUUUAAUCUGCAACUGAAAGUAUACUAAGUAAAAGUAUACUAAGUAAAAGUUAUAUAUUAUUUUAAACUUGCAUAGUUUUUAUAGGUGAAGACAGGAGUGCCUGGCAUGCUCUGGUCCAUGGGGUCACAAAGAGUCGGACAUGACUAAACAACAACAGUUUUUAUAGGAGAAGAAAAGAGAACUAAUUAAAGGGUCAAAAGUCCCAGGGCUGACUUCUGCAUAUCUCUGCAAAUGGGAACUAGAGUCUAAUUCCCACAUGGUUGACUAAAAUGCCCAUGGGAAGCCUGCAAGAGCGCUCAGCAACUGGUAUUGCUAAACUUCUAAAAUACUUUCAAAGUACAAACCAUAACACCUCUUUGAGAUGCUCAUGAAUUAAGCCAAGAAAAGUAAAAAGAUCAUCAAACUCUCCGUGGUAGCAGUAAGUGAUAAAUCUCUAGAAGGACUUGAUUUUUCUUUCUUUUUUAGUCUGCAACUUCAUUAUUUCAACUGUCUUUCAGAAACUCUGCCAGGCAAGUAAAUCGGUUGCAGGUCAAGACCACAAUAUAAAAGAAAAUCAGAUAUUUGUAUCAAAAUAUGUUGUCACUGGAAUAUUUUUUCUGUUGAUCUUUAUGAUUUAGUGUCUGCAGUGAUUGCAGUACCACUUUGACUUUUCCUGACCUGGUGACCAUCCAUAGGCCAAUUCAUUAGGAAUAUCUCCCAGCACAUCCUCCAUCAAAAAAGGAUGUGCUGUAUCAUAUAGCACAGUGAUGUCCAACAGGUCGAUUGUGAUCCACCGGUCGAUCGCAGGGUGUCCCUAGUCGAUCAUGGCUGAUUGCGGGAACCUGCUCCCCUCCCCAUUAAAGCUAAACAACUUUGGCUCAAAGUCCCCCCAAAAAAGCUCAGCAACUCUGGUCAAUCUAAUGGGUAGAUCACUGCCAGGUUUUUUUAUAGUGGGAGUAGAUCACAGUCCCUUGGAAGUUGGACGUGCCUGAUAGCACAUUGAUUUCACUGUUCAAGAUGAAAUUCACAAUGGACUUGUGCUUGUUAUUGGCAUAUACAAUACAGCAGUCCCAUAAAUCACAUAUCUAAGAUUGCUGUGUCUCUAUAUAUGAAAUAUGUAAAUUUUAAAAAUAGUUACAAAUCACAAGAUACAGCAUAGGUAUAGGAUAUGGCACAGACCAACCCCCCAGCACAUAACCCAGGUGCUUAAAAGCUUAAAAACUUGCUCUGGCUGCCCGUAUGUUACUGGGUCAAGUUCAGGAUUCUUUAUUACUUGGUUCCAGGUUACCCAAUUCCUUCUUACUCUGCUCUAUUGCUGAAAUAUUCAGAGUUGUCUUUAUUAGUGGUCUACCACGCCUCAGAUGUACAGCGCAUAUCUACCAGGAGCCAUGCAUUAAGAAUUAUGGGGCUGACUCUAUGGAACUUCAUCCCAGCUGAGAUAAGUCUGUCCCCCACCCUACUGAACUCCAGGUGUUCAACGAAAACAAGGCAUUCUAAGUCAAAUUAUGUCUAUCUGAUGUUUUCACCUGUGUUUUUUCUUGUUUUAAACACUGUGUUGCUUGACUGGUGCAUUGUUUUAUUGAUGGUUUUGCAGCAGCAGUUGGGCAAUAAACACAGGGUGGUGUUUCAAACCUGAUUUUCCAGUGGCUAGCAUCACUGUCACUUACCAAGAGGGGCAGGGGCAAGGCACAGGAAGCACAGUGCAGGCACGGCAGCGGAGCUAAUCUGACUCUUGAACCUGGACCACAUUGAACACUGCACUCUGCUCCUCACCUCUCCCUCUCAGGAAUUAUCAACAAUGCUCACUUUCAGGAAGACAGGUGUGCAACACCAAACCACCCACUGCAGCUGUUCUUCUGCAAACCAUUUUGUGACCAUUCAUGACAGAAAGCUGUCCAUAUGUUUGCUUCAACUCGCUUGUGGAAACAACUCAGAGGUUAUUAAGAAGAAAAACGAUAACAACAAGAAGAUUGGAAGAUGGGACUUGUGAACAUCAAAGCAGCAGAAAUAUGAGAUGAUUGGACCCUUACUGAGCUCGAAGCAUGGGUACCCCCAACAAUUUUUUAAAAAAAUUCGGUAAAAUAUUUGGAUUUUAUGAUAUGUAUUGGUAUAAUUUGGAUUAAUUAAUGUGACAUGAUUGGAUUGUUAAAUGGAAAACUUAAUAAAAAUUAUUUAUUUAAAAAAAGACAGAAAGCUGUCCAUAAAUAUUGUAAAUUAAAUAAAUGUUGCACUGCCUGAGGCAGUCCCACUUUAGCUAUUUUGCCAGCAUAUCACUGGUGUAUCUGUCAUGUCCAAAAAAUACUAUAUUGGCAUUCCUAUCCAUCAACAAUGAUCACUCUAUUAUACUAAAAUCAAGUGUCUUUAAACCCCCUUCUUCAGAGUGGUGGUAAUCAAGAAAAAGCCCAGGAAGGAAAUUUUGCCACAGAAAUUAUUUAAUUCUUACACUUGGCAAGGAGCAUUUGAGAUCGUUAAUUAACAAUAGUGUGCUUGCAAAUCACUGAAGACACUUUUGUCUCCAGGAAUGUCCAGGAGUUUUCUGGACCAGAUUUAACCAUAUUAGAAUGGCAGCAAAAUCACAUGUCAAAGCUACCGCUUUACUGCUCCCCCUCCCUCUUGCUCCACUCCUACUCUCAACUUCAGCUUGCUAAAAAUUAUGGCCAGCUAAGGUUCAGGGAGUUUAUGAUGCAAUUAUUAGCAAUCAUCAUAGAAAGCGUGGCUCCGUGUCAAAGAGGAGCACAAAGAAGAAUGACCAAGAAAUAAAAAUUGCAGUGAGAAGCAAUUAAGAGUCCAGAAAUAAUUUGUUUUCAAUUGCAGAGCUGGGAGAUGGCAGGUCUUUUCAUUCUUCCAGCUUUUCCCCACGAUAUUAUUGUGCACCAAACUAGAUGAGACAUUAAUCAAGUGAUUGGUUUUUGCAUUAGCAGUCAAAGUGGUAGCAGAGGGCAGGGAGAGAGAGAGAUCUGAAGCAGGACUGUAGCAUUGGAGGAGGGAGUUUUAAUCAUUUGCCACUGCCAUGGCCCUGAUCCAGAUUGCCCCUCCUGCCACAGCUGCUUUUUGCAUUGAUUGAGAGGCUCCACCGAAACCUUCACUUGCAAUAUUAUGAAUUCAGCAGCAAAACUAUUGCCUUCUUGUUCACUAACACUAUGUCUUAUGAUUUUUAUUUCAUUCUUAUUUUUUACUCAUGCACAUUUCUGCCCUGCAUGAUUCUAAAGCCUUGGGAGUCAUUUCCAAUAAUUUAAAACCCACACAGAUAUAAAAUUUUCUAUAAACAUGGGGAAAAAGCACAAAACACCAAUUCAUCUUUAUUGUCUUUUCCCUUCCCACCAACUAUGAGAACUUUAGACCACACUUUCAAAAAAUUCUUAGAUGCUGGCAAAUCCCUAGGGGAAAUAAAUUCCGCCAUUGACAGCAGCUGCCAAGAACAUUUCUCUAUAAUGUCCUUGCUGUCUGCAUGUGGCACACAGCUAGUAAAUUGAAGAAAGAUCUCCAGGUUAUAGUUUGAUGAAAUUGUCAACACAGCAGUAGGAGUAACUACAAGAACUAUCCAAUAAUGCCCUGGUCAGUAAUAGUGGUACUUCCUGUAGGAAAUAAGACCCAUCUGGUCUUUAAACAGACUGUGGCAUCUUUUGAAGCUCAGUCUUGCUCAUUCAUUGGGUUGUGUCCUAUGCUAGUCCUACUCAGAGUAGACCUAUUGAAAUUAAUGAGCCUAGGUUAGUUGUGCUUUUAAUUUCAAUGGGUCUAAUUUGAAUUGGGCUAGUGCUAGACACAGCCAAUAGAUCCAAAUGUUGUAAGCUAUAUGGUGCUCAAUUUCAGCCAUGCUGUUUGUCUUCCCACCACCACCCACUUAACAGGUAGGAAUAAAGCAGGGUGGUUAUGGAUUGGGCUCCUUAAAAUCCCCACAAUGGCCUCCUGAAAACCAAGCUUUCUUUUCCAAAAGCUUCUCCAAUUUUGGUUCCAAAUCAGCAAAAUACGAGCCAGAGUUCUCCUUCUUUUUCUGCUCCACAUAAAAAGAACACCGAGUUUCCUUUUGUAUAUAUAUUGCAAUUGUCAUUUUGCAAUCAUGACAGCUGAAAGCCAAAAUGUGCACUCCUUCAUCAAAACUCUCAGAUGAAAAUGGAGCUUUUGGCUAUAUUCACCCCUCAGGAAAAGAGGCUGUAGGGUAAUAACAGAUUCUCAUUAUGUAGUAAAUAUUUCAAGACUUAGCCAUUGCUUAGCCCUCAAAGGAAGACAUUAAAGUGAUAAGCAAGGCUAAUGCUCCUGCGUUAACAGCCCCUUUCAUAGUAGCCCAAGAUUUUAAUGCAGUAUCCUAUCAGCUUGGCAAAGGUACUCUGGAUUGAAUCUGUGACACAUCUAUAAAGUUGUACCGAUAUAUUCUAGAGAAGCAUAUUGAGAUGUAUCAUCCUAAUUACAGAAUAACAUAACUGAAAUACCCCAUUCACAAAGGCCAAGUCCUCAACAUUGAGCCAAAGCAAUGUAUACCCAGCUUUUUUUAAUCAUACUCUCCUUUUGAAUUUAUGGAUACAGGAGUGGCAAGGACCCUAAUAUUUUGAGCUGAUGUCAGGAAUCAUAUCCAUAAGUUACAGCAGCAACUUUAUCGCCACAACAUCACCCUCUCCCUCUCAGUAACCUGCAUGCAGCACUGGGAAGCUAGGUGAGCAAUGCUAGGUGAGCAAUGUCAGCUAGUAUUACUUCCAAGGUAAGCUUCUCCAAGUAGGGCUGGGAAUGUCUCCUGCCUGAAACACUGGAUAACUACUAUUGGCUAUUACAGUGGUACCUCGGGUUGAGUACUUAAUUCGUUCCGGAGGUCCGUUCUUAACCUGAAACUGUUCUUAACCUGAAGCACCACUUUAGCUAAUAGGGCCUCCUGCUGCCGCUGCACCGCCGGAGCACGAUUUCUGUUCUCAUCCUGAAGCAAAGUUCUUAACCCGAGGUACUAUUUCUGGGUUAGUGGAGUCUGUAACCUGAAGCGUAUGUAACCCGAGGUACCACUGUAUAUUGAACGAAUGAAUGAAUGAAUGAAUCUUUAUUGCUAAAAGCUGUAAGCUGUCACAAUGAGUAGAAAUAUAUCUAUAAUGCUGGGGAACCUCUGCUCUCCCAGAUGAGGAAUUGAAAUGUGAAAAGAAAAAAGAAUCUGGCAUGCGAGAGUUACAUGGCAUUGCAAAACCAGAUUAAUUUCAAGCUACAUUGUGGGACUUCAUAUCAUACACCACUGCAGAACAAUUGCAGCAAACUUUGUAACCUGAAUUAUUAGACAUCUGGAGUAUAUGAUCCUUACUUUUUCAAAAUAUCUUCAUUCAUUUGUUGUUUAUUGGCACCCUUGACAAAUAUGGAAGCCAAUCAAUAUGCGUAUAUGACCUCUCUUUUUGUUGUGUUGUUAUAUUUUGUAUUUCACCUUUGAGGACUUUUUGCUUUCCUAAACUAUUUUGCUUAUCUGACCACAUGUUGCUUACAGAUGUUUGGCCAAGCCACCUUAAUUCCUAGCACUAAACAAAAACAGAAAGGUUUUAUGCAGGGCUAGGGGAUAAUCUGAUUCUGUCACACGCAGGAAGGUCAGUUUUGAAUACAUUUCAAACUAACUCAUGUGGCUGGUAUAUCUUUCCAAAAGAUUUAUGCCUUAUUGUUAUUCUACCACCCUUCCUACCCAAAGGAGCCAUGGUGAAGUCCCAGCAUGAGUUUUAAAAAUGUUCUGACUUGCCCAAACUAUUUCCAACAUGUAGAUUAUAUGAGGAGGUAUCAUAGUUUAGUGGCAGAGCAUCUGAAUUGCAUGAGAAAGGUCCCAGGUACAGUCCCCAAAUAGUUGGGCUGGGAAUGUAUGAAACCCUGGAGAGCUGUGCUACUCAGUGCUGACAAUGCUAACCUAGAUCAUCCUGCUCAAUAUAAGGCAGCUCCCUUAUUUUCAGUUUGUUUGCAAUCACACUGGAGACGAGUAAGCAUAACUCUCCUAUUAAGCAAGCAUGUUAAGCUGAAAGUUAAGGUUUUACUUUCCCAUUCUCAUUGGUCAUGGCUCUUGAGUAUGGCAGCUACUCCGCUACCAUCUGUCUGUGGAUUAAUACCAGACACAGGAGAUGCCAAGAUUGACUUAGGCACUGACUCGGUUACAACUAGUACUGCCAGCUGUCAUUAGCGAUAUACUGAGCUAGCGGGACCUUUCGUCUGAUUGACUGGCACUUCCAUCUCAAGGAUUUGUAGUUGGUGCACCUGCUUUUACAAUGCAUCUGCAACUCUGGCAUCACAUCAUACAUUGCAAGAUGUUACUCAACCACAACAGUCAGUACAAUACUUCUCAAGUACAUAUGCUGGUGAAGCAAGCAAGUGCAGAAUAAUGGUUAUUUUUAGUGAAAUUAGCUAUCCAUUCAAAUUCAGUAUAGUUCUCUUUCCAAAGAAUAAGAGACAUGAAGAUUAUCUGCAAUAAUGAUAAAAGGAGAUGCUUUCUUGAUAAUGUUCCGGGGCAGGGGGAUUCUGAGCACUAAAUAGCUAAGCUGUAACCUUUUGUUUCUUUUUAAGAAAUACAGAAAAUUAACAUAUUAUUCCAAGUCACAUAGUCUAUAGGGGACAAUUGCUGACAGGCAUGUGUGUUUUUGUAUUAUAUCCAUAAUACCCAUUAGAAAAUCCAUACAGUAAUACAGUAGGCCCUUAUAGAGACAGUGGCUUGAACUUGUAUUUGAAAACAUGAGCAACACAGUGACCAUCCAGCUACCAUUUUGUUUCCUAUUAAGACAAUUAACAAUUUGAUGCAAAACAAAAACAAAAAAUCAAACUAUAGCUGGAAAUGUGACGGUGCCUGCUUGAGUUUGUAGAAAGAGACAUUAAGCCUCUCUUUCUCUAUAUGUUUUAAGAGCUGGAAGUGAUUAUUAGAAGACAUAUUGUCCAACCCCCUGCUCAAAGCAGAAAUCUAGCAACUAGUAUCCAACCUUUGAGUCUUUCCCUCAGUUCCUGUCUUUUAGCACACAAGUACAUAAUUCAGUGUAGGGACGCGGGUGGCGCUGUGGGUUAAACCACAGAGCCUAGGACUUGCCAAUCAGAAGGUCGACGGUUUGAAUCCCCGCGACGGGGUGAGCUCCCGUUGCUUGGUCCCUGCUCCUGCCCACCUAGCAGUUUGAAAGCAUAUCAAAGUGCAAGUAGAUAAAUAGGUACCGCUCUGGCAGGAAGGUAAACGGCGUUUCUGUGCGCAGCUCUGGUUCGCCAGAAGUGGCUUAGUCAUGCUGACCACAUGACCCGGAAGCUGUACGCCGGCUCCCUCGGCCACUAAAGCGAGAUGAGCGCCGCAACCCCAGAGUCGGCCACGACUGGAGCUAAUGGUCAGGGGUCCCUUUACCUUUACAUAAUUCAGUAAUAAUAUUGUAUCUCCCCUUGAAACUCAGCUUGCAAGGUCAUGCCAAAGCAAUGUACAUAGCAAAAUUGUGCAUGCUGCACAUUGUUGUUGACUGUGUUUCUACACUGAAACCUAACUGAGCAAUGUACAUAAAAAGAGGUGAAGGCAACUAUUAGUAUUAUAACUGUCUGAAUCACUUCUGAGAAUCUUUGCUAGUCUUUGAAAUGUUUUGUUUUCCUUCCAACCCCUUGAAAUUUUGUUUUAUCAACUUUUUGGCAGUCUAGAAGUAGAAUCAUGGAAUUGUAGAGUUGGAAGGUACCCAAUGGUCAUCUAGUCAAACACCUGCAAUGCAGGAAAAAGCAGACUUAGACAAUAUGAAGGUAGCUCAGUCAAUAUCUUAACAAUGAGUUUUCAGCCUAAGUAGAAAGGUCACAGUUAGCAUUCAAAUGGGAGCCUAUUGGUCCCUUAUAUAGCAGCUAGCAUACAUGAAGCAGAGUAAACAAUAUAAUAUCAGCCCUGGCAAACUACCAUGCCGGCACAGAGGGUAUGAAAUAUGCUUCCAGAUUUCUACUUUGAGAUCCCUGGCACUGUAUAGGAACCUCCAAUAUUGCAUGGGAUUUUGCUUUGGUGAUAACGUCUGGGCUUAGACUUAGACUUAAGAUGACUUAGACUAUUGACCAUUGAAGCCCAGUAUUAUCUUCUCCGGAGUAUCAGGGCCUUUCAACCCUGAUACUCUGAGAUCUGUUUUUGAAACUGGAAGCUCCAGGGACUGAACCUGAGGGCUGCUACAUGAAAUGAUGAAGUCUGCCACCAGGCAACAACCUAAUCUUUUUUUUUCCUUUUCUUUUCUUGCCUCGACAAUUCCACAUGGGGAGGAACCUUUAAAUUCACUGGGAGCUUUACUUUAGGCGAAAUAUUAAUGGCAAUUCAACUUUUACUGUAUAUUCCUAUUAUUUCCUCAAAGUUUGAAAAGGAAACUAGCUUUCCCUUGAAUAUUAAUGACUGGGUGAAAACUGUUGGCUGAAUCAUGAAGAAGCAGAAGGGGCAACCGUUUCCCCCAACUUUUUAAAGUUGCACCACAUAUAGAAAUUCAACAUAUGCAGUUUUUCCAACUUAGAUAUGCUGUGGUAGGAAAAGGUGCACCUUUUGAACUUCUGCCUGUUGCAUGAAGCGGCUUGUUUUUUUUAAAGAACUUAUAUUAGUGAAGAAGAAGAAGAGUUUGGAUUUGAUAUCCCGCCUUUCACUCCUUUUAAGGAGUUUCAAAGCGGCUAACAUUCUCCUUUCCCUUCCUCCUCCACAACAAACACUCUGUGAGGUGAGUGGGGCUGAGAGACUUCAAAGAACUGUGACUGGCCCAAGGUCACCCAGCAGCUGCAUGUGGAGGAGCGGAGACGCGAACCCGGUUCCCCAGAUUACGAGACUACUGCUCUUAACCACUACACCAUACUGGCUCUCAGUGAAAGGAUGGCAGCCAGGUAACAGCAGCCAUUCAUUUUCAAAGAUUCACUUUUUUCAUUGUCUUGGCUGUUCAGAGGCAUUGAUAACAGAGGUUGUACAGGGUUCCUUGAUGGUGAUCUGUUACUCUGCUGCUUCUCUCCAGUGCAUUACUAUGGGCUACACAGACAAUUAAUUGGCCAUUGCACAAGGCAAUCUGAUUGUGUGAACUGUUUCUCAUUCUGUCCCAUCCAUUCAUCGUAUUCUCUUGCCCCAAAGAAAGCUUUAAAAAUGUAAUGCUGACCGAUAAAUCUUUUUAUAAUACGAUGUAGAGCCUAUACUCUAAUGAACAGAUGUGAAAAAUUACAUGUUCCAGUGAUGAAAUAAAUUGCCCUAUUAACAGCUUAAUCUUAUUUCAUCAAUAUUUGAUUUGUAGCAAUCACUGAGAAUAAAUGUGCCCAUAAGCUCAGUGAUUUUAAAUUCCAACCCACAGUGCUACGUCCACUUUUUCAUCAAAAUGUCAUUAUUUCUGCAUUGUUACCACUUACACUCUUAGACAGAAAGUAUUUUAAAGAAACAAAAUACUUUGACUCUAAAAAGUUUGUUUAGUGUAAUAGUUCUACAACAACUAUAGAACAUUUUAUAUUUGAGUUUAUAAGCACACACUAAAGAUAAAGCCAGUGGUGUGUGAAAUAUUCAUAGGCAUACCUGUCAACCUUCCCUUUUUUUGCGGGAAAUUCCCUUAUUCCAGCGCCAUUUCCCACUGCUUCCCACUGCUAUCCCGGAUUGUUAGAUAUCCCGUAGACAGUCCCCGGAACAGGUGAGGCUGCUGAUCCCUUAUUUUCGAGGGUCCCCGGGACAGGUGAGGCUGCUGAUCCCUUAUUUUCAAAUCUGAAAGUUCACUGUUUUCAGUGAAGUUAACUAUUUAUUCAAGAAAACAGACAUACAACAGCCUAGUGGUCUCAGCAACAUUCCUCAGCAGGUCUUGCCCCUAUGGAGCAGUUGCCAGUUUCUAUGCUUUUAUACUAUUGCUUCCACACCUCUCUAAGGCUCCUCCUCUCCUGGAUGUUUCCCAAGCAGUCUCAUACUGCACAUGCACACCUCUGACCUCUGUUCUGCUCUUCCCAUUGCUCUGUGAGUUCUUGGAGACCAGGGGGGAGGGGGGCUUGCUGCAGCAAGAGAGGGCAGGUCUCUGAAUUCUUCAGCAAUUCCUUGACCACCCUCUCCUCUGCUUCAGCUUUGGAGUCUGAACUGCUCCCUGUCACAGGCUCUUCCUGCUCACUAAACCCUGUCACCCCUUCAGCACUUCCAGUCUUCUCCCUCUGACCUCUCCUCAGUGUCCCACCAGCAAUCCCCUGCUCUUAGCUUUCCUCCUCUGGGGGUUCCCUGGCUGGUUCCUCUUAACACUCUUCUUCAUCCAGCCAGUUCCUGACAUUUAAUGUGUUGAAGUUCCCUGGAUUCCUGUUAUUAUUUUUCUGUGCUUUUAUACUAUUGCUUAAAUGGGUUUUCUGCUUUGUUUUUUUAUACUAUGCACUUAGAGAUUUUUGAAAGAUUGAGCAUUUUAUAAAUGCUUUUAAAUUUAAAAAAUAAAUAAAAACUGGAAAUGAGAGAUGAAAGGAGGCCUUGCUGAAAUCAACUGAUGAAACGGAAAAAGUCACACACUCUGCAAAUCAAUGUUCAGUAUAACGAUUAAGGAACACAUUCUACUCUUUGCUCAAAUCCCAAGUGUUGUAAUCUUACGUACAUACCAUUCAUGUUGAUGGAGCUUGUAUAGCAGAAGUUCCCGAUGGAUCAUAUCCAACAGCUUUCUAACGAGCACAUCAGGUGAUAUGAAAAAUGAAAAUGAAAAAGCUUAAUUGGCUGAGAAGCGUUAGGAAGUGAACACAUAUUCAUGGAUAACAAAGAUAAUAAUACAGCUCUGAAUAAAGCACUGCUUAAUGGCAGGAUAUUCUAAACACAAAGGAUGCCAUUAAAUUGAGAUCCAGGGUAUUAUAAACAUGUACUUAUUUAAGGUUUGUUAUUGUGUAGAUGCAUUGCAGUUGCAGGUACCACAGAAGUUUACAUAAUAAUAAUAAUAAUAAUAAUUUAUUAUUUAUACCCCGCCCAUCUGGCUGGGCUUCCCCGGCCACUCUGGGCGGCUUCCAAAAGAAUAUUAAAAUACUAUAAUACAUCAAACAUUAAAAGCUUCCCGAAACAGGGCUGCCUUCAGAUGUCUUCUAAAAGCCUGGUAGUUGUUGUUCUCUUUGACAUCUGGUGGGAGGGUGUUCCACAGGGAAGGCGCCACUACCGAGAAGGCCCUCUGCCUGGUUCCCUGUAACUUGGCUUCUCGCAGUGAGGGAACCGCCAGAAGGCCCUCAGUGCUGGACCUCAGUGUCCGGGUAGAACGAUGGGGAGGAGACGCUCCUUCAGAUAUACUGGACCAAGGCCGUUUAGGGCUUUAAAGGUCAGCACCAACACUUUGAAUUGUGCUCGGAAACGUACUGGGAGCCAAUGUAGGUCUUUCAAGACCGGUGUUAUGUGGUCUCUGCGGCCGCUCCCAGUCACCAGUCUAGCUGCCGCGUUCUGGAUUAGUUGUAGUUUCCGGGUCACCUUCAAAGGUAGCCCCACGUAGAGCGCAUUGCAGUAAUCCAAGCGGGAGAUAACCAGAGCAUGCACCACUCUGGUGAGGCAGUCCGCAGGCAGAUAGGGUCUCAGCCUGCGUACCAGAUGGAGCUGGUAAACAGCUGCCCUGGACACAGAUUUGACCUGUGCCUCCAUGGACAGCUGUGAGUCCAAAAUGACUCCCAGGCUGCGCACCUGGUCCUUCAGGGGCACAGUUACCCCAUUCAGGACCAGGGAAUCCUCCACACCUGCCCGCCUCCUGUCCCCCAAAAACAGUACUUCUGUCUUGUCAGGAUUCAACCUCAAUCUGUUAGCCGCCAUCCAACCUCCAACCGCCUCAAUCAAUAUGUAAAAGCUCAAUCAAUAUGUAAAAGCCUAUCAAUAUGUAAAAGCUUUUUACUUGCAGGGCUUAUUAAAAAGAGAGGAGGGGAACUUUUUUGUUUAAAGGAAUAAUUUGAAUAUCUGAAAUUUGAUGUUUAAAAAUUCAGGAGCUUCAUCUGUUGAACUUUAUAAAACUACCAAAAUAUACAAUAUAAAUAUCUCAUUUUACUAAAGAAGUCUAGGCUAACAUCACAUCCUUUUGAAAAACCAACCAAUAUAUCCAUAUUCAAAGACAAGAGACCUACUUAGAGGGGAGGAAUGGACAAGCCAGAGAUCUCUGAGGUUAUCUUUGUGGGUUGGUGUAUAUUGCAGGUGCUGGCUGCAUAUUGCACUCACUUAAGUCCUUUGUUAUUGCUCUUGGCCAUCCUUUGACUCUGGUUUUUGGACCUUUCUGUGGAAGGCCUAUUCUGUAUUAUGUAUUCUAAUCAUAAUUUUCCUUUAAGAUUGCUGCUUUAACCUCUCUUUAUUCCUUAGGUUUACUCCAUUUAUCUGGUUUUCAUUCUUAGUGCAUCCUGACCUUGCUAUGGUUGCUAAUGGUUGCCAUAUUCAGAGCCAGGAAGGAAUUUGCCUGUAGACAAAUUGGUCGGUCUAGAGGUUUUGCCUUCCUCAUAGCAAAUCAUCACAACUUUGGGCAAUGAAGGCAUUGGGUGGAAUCUAGUCUUCAAGCUUUGGGGUAAAGUGGUACAUCACCCUGCCCUGAACCAGUGGCAUAAUCAGGGUACCCCGUUAGAGGGUUCUCAGUGGAAGUUUUUGUCCAGAAGUGAAGCAUGGGGACAGAUGGGCCAUGGGCUUCUAGUGGCAUCCUUAGGAUGGCAACCUCAGUAGAUCAACACCCUGGAGGAAGCCACAUUCCUUGGCACGACACUGAAGUGGUUCUAGCCCUCUGGCAGGAGGCUAAAAUGGAUAUACACCCAAUGUAUGAGCCAAAAUUCAACCUACACCUGUAAUCAAUAAAGUUGUGGCCAUUUUUAAUCCAGCUCAUUGUCUGUUUGAGUUUAUUCUAUCACGCCUCACAUUACUCACAGCACAGGGAAGGGUGGCACUGUGACUACAACCAUGUUAUUCUUGUUUUGGAUGCAUUUGUCAUAAUGUUUCACAUAACCCAAUGUAUUUUAGGAGCGCUGUAUGUUUUCUAAAACUGAGACAACUAUAUAACACAUAGCUGAGCGAAUCACUUCGUUGACUAAUUCCUGCAUACAGUUAUUAUUUUUACAUCUUAAAGUAGAAUUUCUUGUUGCUGCUGUUUGCAUAGUCAUCCAUGAGGAAGCCUUUAGCCUGAAAUGCAACAUGCACCUCUAAGGCUCUCCCUCUUUUCCGGGCUUCUUGAAAUUGAGCGCUCUCAGGCCCUUUGUUGACAAAUUUAUAUUGCUCUUUUCUAACCUCUCCCUCUAGUGGUAGGAAGGAAUUAAAUUGAUUUGUUCUAGGAGGAUCAUAAAUAAAUUAUCUAGGUAUUUGGCACUAAAUAUUCAUGAGGUUCAAUUUUUGAUAUGAAAAGUUGGCUUAAGAUUGCUUUCUGUGUUUGGGGGGAAUUGUUUGUUGUCCUGAUAUGCUGCUGCUUUGGAACCACUCUGAAAACUUUCCCCCCCCUUUACUACAUGAUCCCACUCAAUCAGGGAUCAUGCAGAGACCAGGAUGUCAUGACAUCACAUGACGACAUCCCUAAGAUCAAACAAAGCUCUCCCAUAACGAUGACUCUUAAUAAGGGAACAGUCCCUUCUGCCCAGGCAAUUGCUUGAUGCUCCUUGCCAAGCACUGUAGUGACAGUUUCAUUGCCUACCAGCAGCAUACAAUGGAGCUCUCAUCACUUGUGGCUGCACUAGACUAGUUGGGAGAUAAUGCAACUGUACAUCCUUUUAAUAGGAAUGCAGUACAGAUAAACAACAUUCAUAGCCAGACAGAUUCCCAAAUCAUAGGAGCAUACCAAACAACUUUAUAGCCAGGCUACUUUUCUAGUAUUGUCAUGCUCUGACUGGCAACAGCUCUCCAUGGUCCUGGGUAGAGAUAUUUCUCAUCAUCUAUAGAUCCCUCUAAUUGUAGGUAGCAGGAUUUGAACAUGGAAGCUUCUAUGUGGAGGAAAUAUGUCCUAAUGCUGACCAAUGAGUUUCACUGCAUUGUUUCAUUGCAUUAUUUUUAACGGGAUGUGACUUCAGAUGUGCCAUUCACAAUCACCAAUGCCCAUUGGAUCAGGGGAGAGAACACUGGCCGAGUUACAUCCACAAGAGGAGCAUAUUCCUUCUUCCAAACACUCACUUUUCUGUAAUUUGUGUUGCAGUCUUUUAAAUGAAAUGAUAAAAUAGGAAAAAUCAACAAAAGAAGAAAACAAUUGAGUGUGGUCAGGUAUAAGCCAUUGUAUAAGGAACUGGAAUACUCUUUUAGCGCUGCUCAUUAUAUAUUUAAUAAAAUAAUAACUGUAAGAAUAGUAAAAAAAGAAAGGGGGAAUCACCCAAGGGUGGGUGUACAGUGUGUGUUGUUUUUGGUGGGGUGGCUAUAUCUUAUCUUUCUAUCUAUCUAUUAAUUGCCCCUUUAAGGUCAGCACUAGAAUUUUAUUCUACUAGGUGAUUGGCUAAUAGUAAUGGAGUAAAAAUAGUUCAACUAGAUAGAUAGAUAGAUAUUAUAAAUAAUAAUACUAAAUUAACCUUCCUAAUAAUCAUAAAUUAAUUAACCUAAUGCAUCGCCUGUAUUAAUUUAAUAGAAGGAACUAACAAAGUUGCCUGUAUCCACAGCUGGCAACACCCUCCUCAACCAUUACUGAAGAAUAAAAACUAUGCACAACUAAUGAUUAUUAACAUUGUUUCCCCAGUUUAAUGUCUACUUCCAGUUUAUUUACAUUGUUGUUUUCAAACUCUUUCUGUCUUUCAGGUAAACAGUGUAAGCACAACCAGAAGCUGCACCAGAAGUUCACAUUACACUGCUUGAAGAAGGAACAUAUGUUCUCAAGUAAACUUAGUGCUGUACAAAAAGAAACGCCUUUUUUUUUUUUUGCAAUGUAACAAGCUUUAUUAAUAGUCUUACAAUACAUUACAUGUAUAUAUAGUACAUCUCGUAGAGUAAAUUGAAAAAGAAAUGCCUAUUUAAAACUCUGCAUUUAUUUUCCACAGCUGUUCUCAAUAACUACAUCCCCUGGAAAUUACAGACAUAGCUAGUCAAAGAUGGAAGCAUUUAUCCCAUUCCAGAGUUCAUUUUGUCCAUGCAACCAGGGUCCAUGACAUGUAUAUCUCUAUGGAGCAGACACCUAACACACAUAAAUAAUUUCAGAUAUCCUACUGAUACUACUUGUCAGGCUCCCAUCCCAAAUCACUAUGUCAGCAACUCUUACUGGUAAGCAAGGAAGAGUUCUUUAUUCAGGCUAAGAGCAGUACAGGCUCAGUAGGAAACACAAGGCCAGAAGUCAAGAUUCCAAGAUUCAAGAACAAAGAAAGAGGUUCAUAAUGGGAGCUUUGAAGCUGUCUUGACAGUUGACAUGUUUCUCCUCCCAAGCUUUUAAAGAUGUGGUAGAGUGAGCUCCCUCAUGGGACACGGUCACCCUAUAAAUAUGCUGUACAUGCACUCAAUCAGGGCAGAUGCACCUGGUCCCACCUGUGAAGACAGCACCUGGUUCACAAUAACGACUGUAUCUUGCCCUCUGCCUCCAGCUCCUGUGCCACUUCCUCCUGUUCAGUCCCUAGUCAAAGUCCUCCCCAUUCCCGGAUAAGGCAGAGGAGCCAGCCAAUCUGCUUCUCUCUCUCUGACAUCUAGAGUCACAAAGAGAGGACAUCUCUUUUUUGAACCUGGAUUCCAGCCCCCUAUCUGUACAUUUCCUUCGUUUUCAUCCUGGUCUGUGUGAGACUGAUGGAGCUGAAGGGCACAUGACACUUAUGGACAUUUACUGUAUGGACAUUUAGGUGCACUCUUUCUAAAGCAUUUGUUACGGCUUCCAUCUGCCCAAUAAAAGGCACACAAAGCUUCUGCCGAGGCAAUAUUGCCUUACUUUGCAAAACUUUGAUAUGUACAAGAUGCACAAUUUUGAGGUGUACAAGUCACAGCUCAAUAUUCCUUUUAAAAUCUCUAGCGAACUAAUAGAUAAAUGUGAAGACACAAUUUUAAAAGUCAGAUGUUGUUCAUCAGCUGUGACACAUUUGUCAAACCUGUAAUUUCCCCAAUACUUACUAUUUUAGUUGUUGGCAAUAUCUGAUGAAGCUAACAUAUGCAUUAUAUUUUAGCACAUUUUAGUUUGAGGAUUUCACUUCUCUUCACAGUACACAUCGCAUGCAUCUGACUCACUUUGACUAGAAUAAGUACUUCCUUUAGAGAAAAUGGAGCAGAUCAUUGGCUUGAUUGCUCAUGGAAGUGAAGUUUUUUCCAAUAAAAAUAUUGUGCAAUUGAGUUAAGGACAUUCCCUUUUCUGUACAGUAAAGGAAAAUGAUUGCCAUAAUAGUAUUACUCACCUGACAAAUCAGAUUUGGUCCUGAAUAACUGAUUGAGAAUCAUUAUCUUUCAAACAAAAGGAAACAAAUGACAUUUUCCUGAAUAUUACACUGUAGCCAGAAAUAAAUUGUAUAUGAGUCAGGAUUGGAAUUUAGAGAAAUCAAUUGGCAAACCAAACUGUUACAAACUAAGAGCCAGUUCAUAUAUCCAGCAUGCAUACUUGCAGUUCUCCACACUCCCCUAGAGAAGCCCACCUCGUACCCACACUGCUGUCUUUUGGAUAUCAGAUUAAGACAUUUCUGCUUUUCCUUGGUUUGUAGACAGUGUUAGCCAUACUCAAAGUAGAUCCAUUGAAAUUACUGGGCAUGACUAACUGAGGUUCAUUAAUUUCAAUUGGAUAUAUUCUAAGAAUUUAGCUGGAUAAAUCUCCCAGUUUUAAAUCCUCGCAGUACGGUUGGUGGUUUUAAUGUAUAGAAUUUAUUAGUGUUUUAGUUCUGCACACAAUAUAAUGUUCUGUUGUGUUGGUUCUGUAUUGCUAUAUUAGUUGUCUCUUAAGUUUAUUGUAAAUCGAUAGGACUUACUUCUGAGUAAAUAUGGAUCAGGUUGCAAUCUGAUGGGUAUUCUGAAAUUUGCUAUCUGUUCACUUUAAUGAAGUGGGUUGCUCCCCUUGUAAGGAGACAUGUCUAUAGAGCUUUCCUCUCCUAGGAAGUAUAUAUCAUGGGUGCUCAAUGAGAACAUUACCACUCCAUCUGUCACAUGUAAGAUGGAGCAAGCUUGUUUUCUCCUGCUCUGGAAGGUAGGACCCAAACCAAUGGCUUCAAGUUACAAGAAGGGAGAUUCUGACUAAGCAUCAGGAAGAACUUUCUGACAGUAAGAGCUGUUUGACAAUGGAAUGGACUCCCUUGGAAGGUGGUGGACUCUCCUUCCUUGGAAGUUUUUAAGCAGAGGUUGGAUGACAAUCUAUCAUGGUUGCUUUAGUUGAGAUUCUUGCUUUGCAGGGGGUUGGACUAGAUGACACUUGGGGUCCCUUCCAACUCUACUAUGAGUCUAUGAUUCUAUGAGUACAUGCAUAUCCUGCCUUUCUUCCAAAGAGUUAAAGACAGCAUACAUGUUUCCCUUUCCUUCCUCCUCACUUCCCAUUUUAACCUAACAACAAACUCUGAGUGAGAGGGGCUGGUCCCAGGUCACCCAGCGAGUUUCGCAGCUUAGUGGCGAAUGUGAUUUGACUCAGUUUCCCCAGUUUCAGUUUGACACUCUAAUCACUGCACCACACUGGUUCUUAAUCACUUGGACUGAAGUGACAGUCAAGACAUUCAGGUCUUGUUAUUAAAGAACUUGGAACAGCAGUAAAGAAAAUGCCCUAAAUAUAUUUUCACUUUGGGGUAAAGGGAGAGGGAGACCAGAUAUAAACUAUAAACUGUAAAAGGCACAACAAAUCUCUUCUAGAGAAUUCCAAUAUUACAAUUUAAAAUAUUAAUGUUUGAGCCUCUUGCAGGCUUUCUAAAAUAACUCUAUAGGGAAGCUAGUUUCUGUUAUUAUUUCUUUCCCAAAGACAUGCAUUCCAACAUUUAUGGAAGUUAAUUUUCUAGAUUGAAUGGCUGCACAAUCACAAAUGAGUUCCAAAGUUUUGACAUCUUGUAGCUAGGUCUUAAUUUGAGACAUAGCCCAAUGCCACAUCCUGUAGGCCUGGCUCCAAAUGACAGUGCCCAACCUGAGAAGCAAGUGAUAAUCAGGAGGAUUACUGUAAUCCAGGUGCAUUUUCCUCAUCACUGAGCAUUCAGAGUUACCCCCAUAGAUCAGGAAACAGACUGGAGAGCCUCUUCUCCAAAGCAGUGGUCCUACAGGGAUGUGCUUUAACAAGAUAUAAGGUGACACAGAAUCAAGCCUUGAACCCUAGUUUGCUCUUUAUAACUAAUUACAGAUACGCACACGAGAUGCAACAUGAAUCAGAACAAUUCGGAUUGCUAUGUACAAUUCCUUAAGUUCUCGCAUUGAUCUUAACUGAAGAGUAGCUAUACUAUUUGGCUGUGUACAGUAGACACAAUACAUUUAAACCACACCCACAAGAAUCCUGGGACCUGUAGUUUGUUAAAGGUGCUGGGAUUUGUACCUCUGUGGGUGUAGAAUACUGUACAUCUCUCAGAACUCUUGCGGGGUGUCCUGAAAUUAACUCACAUUUCUUUUUAUUUUUUAUUUUUUCCAAUAUAUUGGCUAUCAAAAGAAUCUCUCUCAGCUUUAGUGUAUGUUCAUCAACAACCCAAAGUCGUUCCAUGAGAUUUGUCAGCAAUGAGCCUUAUUGCAACAAGAAAUAGCAAUUAGAGCUGCAUCCUUCCAAUAACAAUAAUAACUCUAGCCUCACAAAGGACCCUUGAUGAUCCCUCAUUUUGAAACAAAAGUAACAGCUUUUGUGAAGCAAAAGUAAUAACUUAGUGAUUUAUGUGCAUUGAAAGAAAGGGGGAAAUGGUGCAAAUUAAUCUUUCAGGAAGUUACCAUAUUAUCUUUGUGUGUUGUUUACGGCUACAAGCGCUAUCAUAUUUUAGAGAUAACUCACCAGAGCUUUUCUAUGAACAAAGCAGGGGAUUUGUGGUUAAACCUUGUAAAAAUGCUGUUCACACUUAGUUGAUCAUAUUUCUGUGAACGUUCCAAACUUGGAAUGCUCGCAUUAGGACUGAAAUAAAGUCAUUGGACCAGUCACACAUUGUCAAGUAAUUGUUAAGUGUUUGAAGUGUUAACUUAUUAGAACUGGGUGCACUACAGAGAUUUCCAUUAUUACCAAAAAAAAAAAAAUCAAAGCUGGUUAACUGUUGUGGUGAAGCAAUGACAUUAAAAAUUCUAAAUAAUUGUAAUGAAUUAUUUAACGCCACAGGGUCCCCAUUAGAACAGAAGCU
rnacentral:lncRNA from 1 species